AGAGAGACAUUACUCCACAACCUCUGUCUACAAGGCCCAGUUCCUUGGCUUGGUCUUCUCGCCCAUGGAGAAAAUGAUCUAAAGGGUUUGGGUGCCACCGAAGGCCAAGUUCUUCGUGUGGCUCGCUAUCCAAGAUCAUAUUUGGAUUGCUGAUAGGCUGGAGAAAAGGGGUUGGCCAAAUUAUGGACAUUGCAUCCUUUGCAAGCGUGAGCAAGAAAGUUGACCACAUCUAUUUUUUAAAUGUCGUUACAAGUUCAGGCUUUGGAGAUUGGUCUGGAAGAAAUAUAGGCUCCAUCACCUUGACACCUCGACAUGGCGUCUCGAGAAUUCAGUGUUCAACUGGUGGGUUGGUAGGACCGGCUCACGGGUCCCCCAAUAGAAAGGUAAUGGCUUUCUUCGUCAUGCCUCUUUCAUGGACGAUGUGAAAUGAGAGAAAUGCUCGGGUCUUCCGACAAGCGCUCCACCGCUCGUCCUUUUAAACACCAUUGAUCAAGAGGCAAACAUGUGGAUCUCCGUAGAGGCAAAGAAACGAGGCAUCAUUUUUACGCGCGAGUAAUCCCGCAUGUCGUGUAUAAGUGUGCCGUUUAUAACAAACAAUUCUCCUCUCUUAAUUAAUACUAGUUUAGUGCCCGUGCGUUGUCACGGGACGACAAACUGAUGUUGUUUAUCAUCAUUAUUGAUCUCCGCAGUUGACUCAACCUCGCUAGUUGUCUCACCACCAUCAUUGAACGCUUGAUCUACCCUUGCUCCCCUCAUCAAUAGCUCAAGAGAGGAUCGUCAUCCUCCCAUAGCCCUAACAACCUCUGCGGGACAUAGUAUCAUAUAUUCAUAUUUAACAUGCAAAAUAAAAGGCUAGAUAGACAUACAUCUAGAAUAUGCAAAAUAACAUUUUCUUAAUCUAGCCAAGAAAUUUGAUAGCCCUGAUAGAUCGUGUAAAUACCUCCGUUCUUAUGCUAAAAUAUACACCAAUAUAUAGAAACAAAAAUUAUAAAGUUGCAGGAUAAAAAGCAAUCCUACAACCGUGAACACUCUCAGUCUCACUUUCUCCUCAGUGCUCACCCCUCCCCCCUUUCAGCUAGCCACCCCCCAUGCUUCCCCAUGCAGCCGCCGACGCGUCAUGACGCGCAUUAGAACGGCGUGUGAGGCACCCAUCACGGCCCAACUUUCCACAAUGCGCCUUUGAACCCUUCCUCCUAGCUACGCAGUUGUGAGGUGAGAUCGAGGGGGAGGGGGUAUAGUGCUCCGUUGGACGCGCGCGCAGUCUGGACGAUGUCAUCCACCGCGCGGCGGCCCGGCCCCAUGACCCCGCCGCAACAGCGCCACGCCGGUCUGAAUCUUUUGUGGCAACACCCAGUGCGCGUCGUGUCCAGGAGACCCUUCCACAAACCAUGUUCGCUGGGAUGGGCGGGGAUCGACCAGGAGUGGAUGGCGUGGUGCACCACAAUGCCGACGACUUCUCUUCGCCAUCUAGCUCUGCUCCCCUCCCUCUGCUCACGAUCAACAUGCCCAUGGAUCUUAUUGAUGUUUAAGAACGUGUUAGAAUGUAAGGAUACCGACAUGCUAAAUAUUAUCAUAGAGCUACAAAAAAAAGCAGCUCAACAGAUAAUGUUCCUUUAGUUCAUAUCAAAGUAUUUAUUGUCUUGAAAGACUCAUCCUUUCAUAGUAGAGAUAUGAGGAGCUCACUAAAGGCAAACUCAACCCCGAAUUUGGGUUCUUCAUAAGUUAUUUGAUACAUAGUUCCUUAUCCAUGUACUUCUAAUGAGUGAUUAUAUGGAACUAAAGUCUAAGUAAGUUUUCUUAAAGCUAUAUUAUGAUAUUACAUGCCUCAUGUUUUUACCAUAUUAAAAAGCACAUGCCGUAGAAAGAAAUACAACCCCUUAGUAUUUUUGUUCUUCUUUAGCAAGUCACUGUCCAAGCAUCUUCCUCCUGCAUCUGUUUCAAAUUUCACGUCGUCUUUCCUUAGAAUUUAUUUGUUAGUAUGCUAUUUUCCAUAACUUUCAUUUGCAUCUUUUUCUUUCGCAAGGAAACUUUCAGGGGUACCCACCAUUCAACACGCAUAUUUUUUACAAAACAAAUAGCAUGUAAUUCAAUGACUAAAAUCAUCAUUCUAAAUUAUGCACCAACCAGCUGCAAUAAAGAGUUUUAAAAACCUAAUGCAUCCGAGAUUUGCUUAUACUAUUCUAAACUAAUGGUUAGUAUAAACAGAGGCAAAGCUUUUGCAUUUUUCCACAUGAACCAUAAAAACAUUUUUUUACCACAUUUGACGUUACUACAUCACAUAAUCGAUUUUUUUAAGUAUCAUAUUCAACAAGCAUAACUUCCAAAAGUGAACUCAAACUGUAUGGUUAAAAAUGACCACUAAUAACUUCCACAUCACAUGGAAAUGAAUCAACUCAUUUUUUUAGAUUUGACAUAUCGUGAUGGGAGAUCUUGGAAUAUUAUGUGCAUAUUUUGAGGUUAUGUUCCAUGAGAAAGAGAUGGGAUAGAUAACAGAACUAAGCAAUCAACUAAUGAAUUAUUCCGAUUGUUUUAUGGAGAGUUUAAGAAGAUUACCUCCUGCUUAAAUAAACCGUUUGACUAACAAAAUCAUGUCAUGUGUGAAAUUUAUUGCACCAAGCACAAAUAUUCUAUGAUGAAUCAGACACCAAACAUUUAUUUGAUUAGGGGCUAACUCUAGAAAUGUCAGCGCAUGAGUACAUGACUACAUAUGCCAAUACUGAAGAAAUGAGCUCUUGUAACAUUACUUGUUGAGUAUGACCAAUUUUGCAUGUGUUCUCCACGACUCAAUGGUCACCACGCCGGACAGCGACCCAUCAAUGACCCUCACAUUGACAUCUAUCUGUAGCCAAUCAACAUGGUGGGUAGAGGUUAGUGGCAUCAACUAAACUAAUGGUCAGAUCGCAGGAGCUAGCAGAAUCGUCAGUUACCUUGGUGGGAGCACAUGGGUGGAUCGAUCGAGGUCGAACCAUCACGACGACGCUUCAUGGGUGAAAAAAAUUAAUCGUCUAUUUCUACGUGGAGGUGAAUACACUUCACAACCACAGAAACUUAUAAAGGCUUAAAAUAGACUAUGACCACAACCAUACAAACGGAAAACAAGCUAUAUUUUGCAACCCAUUUCCCCAGGGGUUGCAUGUCGGAUAGGCUAAUUGUUAGAACCAAGGUUGAUCCAUCAUUAACGAAAGCCUCCAUAAAUGGUCAAAUUCUGUAAAAAAUCAAAUAAACUAUAUCCAGAGG
rnacentral:lncRNA from 1 species